rnacentral:rRNA from 1 species
ACGUGCCCCUUGGUACGGAAUAGCCCCGGGAAACUGGGAGUAAUACCGUAUGAGCUCUACGGAGGAAAGAUUUAUCGCCAAGGGAUCGGCCCGCGUUGGAUUAGGUAGUUGGUGGGGUAAUGGCCUACCAAGCCGACGAUCCAUAGCUGGUUUGAGAGGAUGAUCAGCCACACUGGGACUGAGACACGGCCCAGACUCCUACGGGAGGCAGCAGUGGGGAAUCUUAGACAAUGGGCGCAAGCCUGAUCUAGCCAUGCCGCGUGAGCGAUGAAGGCCUUAGGGUUGUAAAGCUCUUUCAGCGAGGAAGAUAAUGACUGUACUCGCAGAAGAAGCCCCGGCUAACUCCGUGCCAGCAGCCGCGGUAAUACGGAGGGGGCUAGCGUUGUUCGGAAUUACUGGGCGUAAAGCGCACGUAGGCGGACUGGAAAGUCAGGGGUGAAAUCCCGGGGCUCGACCCCGGAACUGCCUUUGAAACUCCCAGUCUUGAGGUCGAGAGAGGUGAGUGGAAUUCCGAGUGUAGAGGUGAAAUUCGUAGAUAUUCGGAGGAACACCAGUGGCGAAGGCGGCUCACUGGCUCGAUACUGACGCUGAGGUGCGAAAGCGUGGGGAGCAACAGGAUUAGAUACCCUG